UCCUUCCUUAUUAUGAAACUAACUAAGAAACGUUAGUUAGUUGGUUCUUUGUUGCCAAGUAGUCUUGGGAACGUUCACAGAAUUUAACUUGUUAAUGAUCUUAAGAGCUAAAAUGACGUGAUUCAAGUUGUCAAAUUCAUUUGCAUGAACCAGUCAACUAGAUGGCUUACCUUCUCAGUGCGGCACUAAUCUAUAUUAGGUG
rnacentral:lncRNA from 1 species